GACACAAAAUUGAAAAAACAUAGAAAGGACAGAAUAUGAGAGAAAGAAUGAUGAGUGCAUCUUGAGUGCUUCUAAGAAAGGUUUAUUUUUUUGGUAGAUGUAAUGAUUUUUGGUAAUGAUUGUGUAGUCAUGUUGUUCUAUAAUUUUCGUGUACACUCACAAUAUAUCUAUCGUCCAAUAAGUUCUUGGGGUUCUUCAAAUUCAUUAAGUCUUGAUUUUGAAGGUGUUGGUAGUUUUAUCUUACGAAGAAAUUCCUUGUGACCCUAGGCUUUCGAAAUGGGUAGGAAUAUUCUUUACGGAAAGUGUAAUCGUUCUCUAAUAUAAUCCAGGACACGACUUGGUGUAUUCGAUCAAUGAUUUAGAGGGUUAUCCACAUUCUAGACGGAGCAACAAAGUUCAAGUCAAUACAUUCCGAAGCCAUUUACGCACUUUGUGAAAUGGUACGCAUUCUAGAACUACGUGAACUUUGAUCCCAAUUGUAUCGGGUACAUAGGCAGGUCAAAGAAUCAAGUCCAUCCAUCUAUGAAAUUUCCCCAACAAUGGAUUUGUUUAAUUGAAUUAUUUGGGCGGGUGACCGAUGCAUCAUAAUCCUGAUCUAGUAUAGUUAGGUCUAGCUUGUCCCAUAAUGAACCGUGGAUCACAUGCCACAAUUCAACCGUUAAGAGAUUAUGCCCAAAUCGUGUUACAUCAUCUGUACAGUAGAUCACACGCUAUUGCACAACCUCGGAACCCUCACUCAACAUCGUGUUAUAUCACAUGGAAAAUCCAAUCAUAGGAUUUCCCAAAAUCCUAUAACAGUUCUAUGCUUAUGAGCAGAAUGUAAUCCUAAACCCCCACCUUUGAUCAGCUUCAUGUAGAGUCUGAAGUUGAACCAAACUUCCCGGAGCCUAGCCUCUUAUCCGGAG
rnacentral:lncRNA from 1 species